CAGUCGCCGCGGUAAUACAGAGGGUGCGAGCGUUAAUCGGAUUUACUGGGCGUAAAGCGUGCGUAGGCGGCUUCUUAAGUCGGAUGUGAAAUCCCUGAGCUUAACUUAGGAAUUGCAUUCGAUACUGGGAAGCUAGAGUAUGGGAGAGGAUGGUAGAAUUCCAGGUGUAGCGGUGAAAUGCGUAGAGAUCUGGAGGAAUACCGAUGGCGAAGGCAGCCAUCUGGCCUAAUACUGACGCUGAGGUACGAAAGCAUGGGGAGCAAACAGGAUUAGAUACCCCCGUAGUCCCUGUCUCUUAUAC
rnacentral:rRNA from 1 species